rnacentral:lncRNA from 1 species
CUAACUCAUAGCCCUGUAUUUUGCUAAGUUUUUCCUCUACUCUUGAGUCCUCCUUUAAUCUAUAGAGUGUUAUUCUACACUGGACCUCUCUCUUAUUUUUUGGAGUCUAGCAUCUUGCAUCUUCCUGGAGCCCCAACUAAACUCAUAACUUCUAAGCUUCUAAGAAAUAUAUGACGAGCUCCAUGAGGGCCAAGGCUCUCCAUUCUUGUUCACCACUGCACACUCAGGAGCUCAUGGCAUGCUGGCUGUGCUAGUUCUAUCCUCAACAGAAUAAUUGCUGACAAACUCUCUUGCCCAGAAAAUGUCUACUGGAAUUAUGGAGUACAAAAAAACUACAAAAGCAAUGAAAAAAAGAAGGAUGUUUUAUUUACAUCCUAUUUCAAAACCAUUGCUUUCUUGCUAUUGUAUGUCUCUGCAGGCCCAAUAUCGCGCAUCUUCAUAAGAAGUUUAGAAUUGUUCCUUAUGUUUCCUUCUAACAAACACUGGUAUAUUCACAUGAAAGUGUAUAUUUUAUUCACUUCCAAAACAGUUAGCUCAUAAUUCAGAACAUUGAGGUUUGCAAAAUGACUGAAGGAAACUUUACCUAAACAAUAGUUGCCAGUUCUGCUGAGAAUUAUCACGGGCCCACAACGGCUGUGUGUUUUUCCAUACAGAUAUUCUAAUUUUUUUAUUAUGCAGCUAAUUUUUUUUUAGACUCGCGAAUAAAAUAGCAAGUCAGUCUGUGCAUAAGCAUAUGUUUAAAUCUACCAGGAGAAAUGUCUGGAAUCUUUUUGGUUAUUAAAAUUAAAAUUCAGGAUAAUGAAAGGCAUAUGCAACUUAUUAUAUUCUUUAUAUAACUUAUUUCAUCUAAUCCUCCAAAUAGCUAUAUAACAUAUUUAUCCCCACCUUACAUAGA